CCUCUCAGUCUGUGGUCAAACCUAUCAGUUUCAGAGUUGCGACCAGCAUUCAGCUGUGGUGGCAGUGUAAAAUUAAGGCGCCAAAUAUUCAUAAAACUCCUCGCAACAAGGGACUAACGCAUAACAUUGUAAAGUAGGAUAUGUGGAGAUUCAGGUAAGACAGAGUCACCAAGAUUCAAACAACCCCAUCAAUGUCUGGGAUAGACAUGGCUCCUUGCUUCAAGGUGACUGUAUUCGAGCAGGAGCAUUUCCAAAGCAAGUGUCAGGAGCUCACCACAGAGUGCUGCAAAAUCCAGGAGCGUGGGUUUGACAAUAUCCGCUCGAUCCGAGUGGAGAGUGGCGCCUGGAUGGGGUAUGAGCACCAUGACUUCCAGUGGCAGCAGUUUGUCUUGGAAAAAAGAGAAUAUCCCCACUGGGAUGCCUACAGCAGCAGUCUGGGCUACCAUGUGGAGAGGAUGAUGUCCUUGCAUCCCAUCUACUGUGCUGCCCAGCUUUUUUGACACAAACACUUCUAAUCACAAAUACAAGGAGUUGUAUGGUUAUCUACGAGAAGGAACUUCCUUGGUCACAGUGUAGAGCUGUGUGAUGACUACCCUUCUCUGCAGGCCAUGGGCUGGGGCAAAACACAUGUGGGCUCCAUGCAUGUGCAGUGUGGCUCGCACACACACACAUAGAGAAGCACAGUGUCUAUUUCAUGCCUCACAUAAUACCUGUUAUGUACUUGUGAACAGUGUUGGGUAAGUUACUCUAAAAAAGUACUUAAUUACUAACUACUAAUUACAUCUUCUACAGUGUAAUUAGAUUACUGUACUAAUUACUCUGUCUGAAAAGUAACUGCAUUACUUAUUACUAAUUACUUUCUAAAACCCUUAUCAACCUCGACCAGAUGGAAAAUACAAUGAUAGACAUGAAACUGUUCUUUUAAUUCUUUCAAAUAAAUCAUAUAAAAUCAAAUAAAUUAUUCAUGAACUGGCCAAAGAAUUUAAGGGGGCAGUGUUAAAUUAGAAAACAUAUAUUUUAACAUUCAAUGUUAAAUUUCGAUUUUAAAUUCACUAUUAUUUUAUAUAGAAUUGUUCUGUAGUCUAUACAGUAUUUAACGCAAUUACAUCAGAAGUAACUGUAUUUAAAUUACUGAAAAAUUAAGAGUAUUCCUUGCUUUCCUUUUUUCAAUGAAAAAGUAAUUUAAUUAUAGUAACUAAUUACUUAGUAAUGCAUUACACCCAACACUGCUUGUGAAUACCACAUCUGUUAUGAAGCAAUGUUUAUAUCAACCUGUCAGAAAAUGUCAGCACUUGAAGCUGAUAAUUUUUUUUAGCUGGUACUAACAGUUGUGAAAAUAGUGUGAUUUAGGCUCUGCAUUCAGAAAUAGUUUAAUUACCUUUGGAAUGCACACCAAAUGUCUGUACAUACAGUACUGUGCAAAAGAUGUUUCACAAAAGCAUUUGUCUUAAGAUGGUUAUUUAUAUCUUAAGCUUUAGUGUGUCAAUAGGAAAUAUAAAUGUUAGACUCCCAAACAUUACUUUUGCAAAUAGAAAAGAUUAGAAUAGAAGAACAGGGAGCCCUGCAACAGAUGUCAUGGCCCCCACAAAGCCCCCCACUGAACAUUGUGUCAGUCUGCGAUUACAUAAAGAGACGGAAGCAAUUGAGACAGCCUAAAUAGAUAGAAGAACUGUGGCGAAUUGAUAACAAACAUGUAUGAUUAGAAAACCUUUUACAUUACAGAACAGGAUAAGUCAUAACUUAGUUUUUGGUGUCCUUAAUGUGAUCUGAGGUGAGAGAGAGAGAGAGAGCAGAUGUGAGUGUGAUUUGUGUUUUAUGGUCCCCAAUCAGUGUGGUGUGUUGUCUUAGGUGGAGAUGUCUUCUGUGUGAGAGUUCUUUGACUUUCCCGGAAGUGAUGCAAACAAUUUUGUGCCAGUCUUACAAUCUGAUGCAAAAAUGUGUGAUUAGAGAUGGCGCUUGUCAGUAAUUUGGCAGAAUGGGGUUGAUGUUAGAUUACUGGACCAUUUGGUAGCAAUGUGUCAACUUCCCGUGUGAUCAUGUUGAAAGACUUACUUUGAAGGAGGGACUGAGCCAUAUUAAGUGACAAGAAUAUCAGAUAGCCCUUUUCCACCGAAAUUGCGAUGGUUCUCGUACCGAGCCUGUGCUCCACUGGUUCACGGCCGGGGCAAUCUGGAGCCUAUCGUAAACCGGCCAUGCUUUUCCACUGACCUGAGAGUCAAACGGUGACGUAACGGGUUACUGUCUACGUGGUAGUUUCACGUGACUACCUCAAACAUAAACAAACAUGGUGUCACAGUGUGUUUGUAUACAGCUUUUAAUGCAAUCCAUCGUUAUUACAUUGCUCAACAAGAUCUAUGCUAAAGACGACAGGUAAUGUAAUUACAUUAUAUUGUAUGAACUAUGGCUUAACUUGCUAAGUUCUGUAAACUGUUACAGUGGAAUCAUUAUUAACAUUGGUGUAGCAGAUGGUUGUAUUUGGAUUUUUGCCAUAGCAUAUAAUAUUACUGAUUGAGAAUCCCACCGUUUUACUUAACAGAUAGCCGCUAUCUUCCAAACUUAGUGAGUAGCUGGUCAAAAAGCCCCUUACAGAACAAAACAAUGCACAAAAUAAGAUGACAACAGUGUAAGGAAAGCUAACAAAGUUGGCAAAUAUAGCAACUUAAUGAGAUCACAGCAAUUCACUGUUUAUCACGAGCAUUACUGGCUGAAUUCAAUGCCCUGGUUAGUUAGCAGGCUGGUCGGUGUCCGAGUCCAAAACAUCGUUACUCUGUCCACUGUCGCUUUUGCGUAUGUCCUUCUUAUGGUCCCCUGUACUCCCUUAAAGGAAUAGUUCACCCAGAAAUAAAAAUUUGCUGAUAAUUUACUCACCCUCAGGCCAUCCAAGAUGUAUAUACAAGAUGUAGUUUCUUUCUUCAUCAAAACAGAAUUUAAGAUUUUUAG